UAACCUCUAUCCGACAGCUUUAAAAUUUUUCUACGCGCCGCGCAAAUCCACGCGCGCAUUUUAGCGUGUCAAAAUCGUUUAAAACUAGAAUUAGUUGAUGAAGGAGCAUAAUGCAGAUCAUACGUUGUACGUGUGGCUUGAACAUUAUGAUUUCGCGCCAUUUCUUGUUUCUGCACUCGCUUUGAACUUUCAUGGCUUUAACAGCAGUUAUCGACUGACGACUUUGCUGUAUUACAUAGUGUACUUGGUACAUAAUUGAUCAACGAUAAUAGGAGGAACCCCUGCAAGCUUUAAAGGGCUCGUGUUACUUUAACAUCACUUUUGAAUUUCACGAAAGCAGAUAAAAGUUUUAGUGACGUUGCAGAAACUCCGGAAUACUGUGGAUUGGGAGGAGGAGAAAGUGAUAAUUCUGUUAUAUGGCCUGUUUCUAGGACACGAUAAACUUCCUAAUAAGAUCAGAUGGCUAAGUUACGGUGCAAAGACGGGUAGCUUGAGACUACCCGUUGUUACCUAUAAUCUAACUCACUCUUUCCACAUACGCGGCUAACCUGUUCCCGAUCAAUAUUCAGUUAACAACUCUACCUCGAUUCGAUGCAGUGCACAGUGGGAGAGGUUGAAGUUGACGUUCAAGCAGUCACCCUGCCGAACAAGAAAUCUUUCAGGCCAAGAGGCUAGGUGACUAGAAACUCAAUCACUAUAUCCGUGAAACUUGUCGGGAGCACUGUUAUGUGUGGAGGUCGGACCGAAACUGUAAUCAGACACUAAACAUUAACGAGGACCAAUUAUUCUACUCCUUCAAUGAUGAAUAAAGAUCGCUGAUUGCUUUUACUAAUGUAUAAUGUUAAAAUGAAAGAGAAACUAUUGAGACGAAAGAGAAAAAGGCACUCAUUUAUUUAUAGUUUUAUGUCUUAACAAUGAUAUUCGAAAGCUAAUUUUAAAAACUGGCUCUGAAUCCUUGCUAAAUGAUUUGGGAAGGUGUAAGGGCUUAAUAUGCCUGUAGACAUCAUUUUCAGUGGGUUUUAUGAAGUUUAUGAUUAGAGUAUAUUUUGGGACUGAAAUAAGCGCAAGACCUUCGACGUUUCUAUUGCUACUGUUUUUUUAAUUUAGCAAAUAUACAAACAAAAUUUAUACUGUCGUAAAGAUAAAAUAUUUAGUUAUCGGAUAGAGACUUUAAAAUUAAGUAUUACAAUAACCAAGCUAAAAUAUUCAAUGUUAAACUCAAAAAUUUUCACGCGUUUAUGAAGAAAUAUUUAGUUCUGCGCGUAGUUUUUUGGUCACAUCUACGGCAAAUUUUCGCCAAUUUUGUUCAUAAUUUCAAAAUG